rnacentral:rRNA from 1 species
CUUUACUGCAGCCUGGUAUUGGGUUCGGGCUUUGACUGCGCAGGAUAGGUGGGAGACUGAGAAGUGUGCCUUGUGGAGCACAUAGAGUCAACGGUGAGAUACCGCUCUGUCAGAGCUAGAAUUCUAACCUUCACCCGUGAUCCGGGGAAGGAACCGUAUCAGGUGGGCAGUUUGACUGGGGCGGUCGCCUCCUAAAAGGUAACGGAGGCGCGCAAAGGUGUUCUCAGGCUGGUUGGAAAUCAGCCGUAGAGUGUAAAGGCAGAAGAACGCUUGACUGUGAGAGUGACAACUCAAGCAGGGUGGAAACACGGCCUUAGUGAUCCGACGGUAUGCGCGUGGAAGUGCCGUCGCUCAACGGAUAAAAGUUA